rnacentral:sRNA from 1 species
ACCUGAAAUUCAACGGACAGUUGCAAUCUACAUAAGU